ACUCAAAGGAAUUGACGGGGGCCCGCACAAGCGGUGGAGUAUGUGGUUUAAUUCGAAGCAACGCGAAGAACCUUACCUGGCCUUGACAUCUCUUGACAGUCCUAGAGAUAGGAUCUUCCCUUCGGGGACAAGAUGACAGGUGCUGCAUGGCUGUCGUCAGCUCGUGUUGUGAAAUGUUCGGUUAAGUCCGGCAACGAGCGCAACCCCUAUCCUUAGUUACCAUCAUUAAGUUGGGGACUCUAGGGAGACUGCCGGUGUUAAGCCGGAGGAAGGCGGGGAUGACGUCAAGUCCUCAUGGCCCUUACGGCCAGGGCUACACACGUACUACAAUGGUAGAAACAAUCUGCUGCAAAACCGAAAGGUCGAGCUAAUCAGAAAAACACUAUCUCAGUCCGGAUUGAAGUCUGCAACUCGACUUCAUGAAGUUGGAAUCGCUAGUAAUCGGAGAUCAGCAUGCUCCGGUGAAUACGUUCCCGGGCCUUGUACACACCGCCCGU
rnacentral:rRNA from 1 species